rnacentral:miRNA from 1 species
UCUUCAUUCCGCGUGCUGUCU